GCCGGCUCCCGGGGGGGGGGGGGGGAGGGAGGGGGGGAGACCCAUAGAGUCAUGGGAAGGCUCCCCAGGGCCAGCCCCCCACCCGUCUCUUCUCCAGGAAGGCACCCUCCGAGCCCUCCCAAGUUCAUCGAGGUGGAAAGGCCAUCCCAGGGCCAGCCCUUCUGCAGGAAGACACCAUCCAAGCCCUCUCAAUAAAUGGCCCUCCAGCCCCAUAGAGUCAUAGGAAGGCUCCCCAGGGCCAGCCCAUCUGUUCUGCAGAAAAGCACCCUCUGAGCCCUCCCAAUAAAUGGCCCUCCAGCCCCAUAGAGUCAUAGGAAGGCUCCCCAGGUCCCACCAGGUCCAGCCCUCCACCCAUCAGUUCUGCAGGAAGUCAUCAUCCAAGCCCUCCCCGCAAAUGGCCCUCCAACUUCAUAGUCAUAGAACAAUCCAAACUGCUCUCCAGGAAGGCACCCUCCAAGCCCUCCCAACAAAUCUCCAUCCAACUUCGCAGAGGUGGACAGGCCAUCCCAGAGCCAGCUCCUCCAGUCCUUCUGCAGGAAGACACCAUCCAAGCCCUCUCAAUAAAUGGCCCUCCAGCCCCAUAGAGUCAUAGGAAGGCUCCCCAAGGCAAUCCAGUCCAGUCCCCAAUCUGUUCUCCAGGAAGGCACCUUCCAAGCCCUCCCAACAAAUGGCCCACCAGCCCAGUCAAGCCCCCAUCUGUUCUGCAGGAAGUCAUCAUCCAAGCCCUCCCAGCAAAUGGCCAUCCAACUUCAUAGUAGACUCAUAGAGGUGCCAUCACAGUCAUAGAACAGCCCAGCCUGUUCUACAGGAAGGCACCUUCUGAGCCCUCCCAACAAAUGGCCCUCCGGUCCCAUAGAGUCAUAGAAAGGCUCCCCAGGUCCCACUAGGUCCAGCCCCCCACCCGUCUGUUCUCCAGGAAGACACCCUCCAAGCCCUCCCAGCAAAUGGCCCUCCAAUUUCAUAGUCCUAGAACAAUCCAGCCUGCUCUACAGGAAGGCACCUUCUGGGCCAUCGUAACAAAUGGCCCUCCAGCCCCAUAGAGUUAUAGGAAGGCUCCCCAGGGCCAGCCCCCCACCCGUCUGUUCUCCAGAAAGGCCUCCUCCAAGCCCUCCCAACAAAUGGCCCACCAGCCCAGUCAAGCCCCCAUCUGUUCUGCAGGAAGUCAUCAUCCAAGCCCUCCCAACAAAUGGCCAUCCAACUUCAUAGAGGUGGAAAGGCCAUCCCAGAACCAGCCAGUCUAGUCCUUCUACAGGAAGACACCACCCAAGCCCGCUCAACAAAUGGCCCUCCAGCCCCAUAGAGUUAUAGGAAGGCUCCCCAGGUCCAGUCCAUCUGUUCUCCAGGAAGGCACCCUCUGAGCCCUCCCAACAAAUGGCCACCCAACUUCAUAGAGGUGGAAAGGCCAUCCCAGAGCCAGCCAGUCCAGUCCUUCUGCAGGAAGACACCAUCCAAGCCCUCCCAAACAAUGGCCAUCCAGCCUCAUAGAGUCAUAGAAAGGAUCCCCAAGGCCAUCCAGUCCAGCCCCCCACCCGUCUGUUCUCCAGGAAGGCACCCUCCAAGCCCUCCCAGCAAAUGGCCCUCCAACUUCAUAUAGAACAAUCCAGCCUGCUCUACAGGAAGGCACCGUGCAAGCCCUCCCAACAAAUGGCCCUCCAGCCCCAUAGAGUUAUAGGAAGGCUCCCCCGGUCCAGCCCAUCCAUUCUGCAGAAAAGCACCCUCUGAGCCCUCCCAACAAAUGGUCAUCAAGCCUCGUAGAGUCGUAGAAAGGAUCCCCAAGGCCAUCCAGUCCAGCCCCCCACCCGUCUGUUCUCCAGGAAGGCACCCUCCGAGCCCUCCCAAGUUCAGAGAGGUGGAAAGGCCAUCCCAGGGCCAGCCAGGCCAGUCCUUCUGCAGGAAGGCACCAUUCAAGCCCUCCCAAUAAAUGGCCCUCCAACCCCAUAGAAUCAUAGGAAGGCUCCCCAGGUCCCACCAGGUCCAGCCCUCCCAGCAAAAGGCCCUCCAACUUCAUAGUCAUAGAACAAUCCAGCCUGCUCUACAGGAAGGCACCUUCUAAGCCCUCCCAACAAAUGGCCCUCCAGUCCCAUAGAGUCAUAGAAAGGCUCCCCAGGUCCAGCCAGGGCCAGCCCCCCACCCAUCUGUUCUGCAGGAAGGCACCAUCCAAGCUAUCCCAGCAAAUGGCCAUCCAACUUCACAGACACAUAAGAGGUGCCAUCACAGUCAUAGAACAGCCCAGCCUGUUCUCCAGGAUGGCACCCUCUGAGCCCUCCCAACAAAUGGCCAACCAACUUCAUCGAGGUGGACUGGAAAAGCCAUCUCAGGGCCAGCCAGGCCAGUCCUUCUGCAGGAAGACACCAUCCAAGCCCUCUCAAUAAAUGGCCCUCCAGCCCCAUAGAGUCAUAGGAAGGCUCCCCAAGGCCAUCCAGUCCAGCCCCCCACCCGUCUGUUCUCCAGAAAGGCACCAUCCAAGCCCUCCCAGCAAAUGGCCCUCCAGCCUCGUAGAGUCAGAGAAAGGCUCCCCAGGGCCAGCCAGGCCAGUUCUUUCUGUAGGAAGGCACCAUCCAAGCCCUCCCAACAAAUGGCCAUCCAACUUCAUAGAGAUGGAAAGACCAUCCCAGGGCGAGCCAGGCCAGUCCUUGUCUGUUCUGCAGGAUGGCACCCUCUGAGCCCUCCCAACAAAUGGCCCACCAGCCCAGUCAAGCCCCCAUCUGUUCUGCAGGAAGUCAUCAUCCAAGCCCUCCCAGCAAAUGUCCCUCCAACUUCAUAGUCCUAGAACAAUCCAGCCUGCUCUACUGGAAGGCACCGUGCAAGCCCUCCCAACAAAUGGCCCUCCAGCCCCAUAGAGUUAUAGAAAGGCUCCCCAGGUCCAGCCCCCCACCCGUCCAGGAAGGCACCUUCCAAGCCCUCCCAACAAAUCUCCAUCCAACUUCAUAGAGGUGGAAAGGCCAUCCCAGAGCCAGCCCCUCCAGUCCUUCUGCAGGAAGGCACCCUCCAAGCCCUCCCAGCAAAUGGCCAUCCAACUUUAUGGACCCAUAGACUAUCCAGUCUAUCCUAUUCUACAGGAAGGCACCAUCCAAACCCUCCCAACAAAUGGCCCUCCAGCCCCAUAGAGUCAUAGAAAGCCUCCCCAGGUCCAGCCAGGGCCAGUCUCCCACCCGUCUGUUCUCCAGGAAGGCACUUUCCAAGCCCUCCCAACAAAUGCCAUCUAACUUCAUAGAUGUGGCAUGGCCAUCCCAGAGCCAGCCAGUCCAGUCCAGUUCUUCUGCAGGAAGACACCAUCCAAGCCCUCUCAUUAAAUGGCCAUCCAGCCCCGUAGAGUCAUAGAAAGGAUCCCCAGGGCCAGCCAGGCCAGUCCUUCUAUAGGAAGGCACUGUCCAAGCCUCCCAAUAAAUGGCCAACUAACUUCAUCGAGGUGGACUGGAAAGGUCAUCUCAGGGCCAGCUAGACCAGUCCUUCUGCAGGAAGGCACUUUCCAAGCCCUCCCAACAAAUGGCCACCCAACCAUGGUUUCAUCGAGGUGUAAAAACCAUCCCAUGGCCAGGCAGUCCACCCCCCAUCUGUUCUGCAGGAAGGCCCCCUCUGAGCCCUCCCAACAGAUGUCCCUCCAUCCUCAUGUUGUCAUAGAAAGGAUCCCCAGGACCAUCUAGUCCAGCCCCCUUCCGUUCUGCAGGAAGGUACCUUCAAAGCCCUCCCAACAGAUGGCCCUCCAUCUUCAUAGAGUCGCAGAAUGGAAAGGACCUUCCAGGGCCAUCCAGUCCAAUCCCCUUCUAUUGUGCUGGAAGCCCUCUUCACAGAUGGCCAUCCAACUUUGUAGAAUUACAAAGGUGGAAGGGACCCCCCCCCCCAGUCCAUCCACUUAUGCAGGAAGACACCAUCUAAGCCCUCAACAGAUGUCCAUCCAGCCUCAUAGAAUCAUAGAGGUGAAAGAGACCCCCCCCCCAUCCAAUCUAACUCAGUUCUAUGAUGCAGGAAGACACAAUCCAAACCCUCUCUACAGAUGGCUAUCCAGCCUCAUGGAAUCAGAGAAUGGAAAGGACUCUCCAGGGCCAUCCAGUGCAACUCCGUUCCUGCAGUGUUGUGCACAUUUUCAGGAAGACACUUUGCCAACCCCUCCCAACAGAUGGCCAUCCAGCCUCAUAGAAUCCUAGAGUUGGAAGGGACCCUCAGGAUCAUCCUGUCCAACCCUACCCUUCUAGGCAAGAAGGCACCAUCCAAGCCCUCCCAACAGAUGGCCAUCCAGCCUCUGCUUAAAAAUGAGAUUCCACUAGACCUCCCAGGCAGCCUAUUCCACUGCUAGAGAGUUCAGAGAGUCAGAAAGUUUGUCAGAAUAUUGAGAUGGGGUCUCUUUUCCUGCAAUGUGAACUCAUGGCUCCAUUGUUUCUGGACUACAGAGCAGCAGAAAACAGGCUUCCAAUUCUUCCCACCAACCCACUUGGUCCCAAUAGGACCCACGCCCACUCACACUAAGUCCAUUGGAGUCCGAGUCCAACCCACCCCCCAAGAUGAGCAUGGCUUUCUGAGUAGUUGAAUGAGAAAGUGAUUGUCGGGCAAGGAAUAAGCAAUGGCGGAAGAUGGGAGUACAAAAGCAAGGCAUUGUGUUUUCUCCAAAACCAAGCUGAUGUCUAUCUUUGGGGGAAUCCAAGCUCCAAACAAGACUGGGGAAGAGAGACUUGUGUUGGGACAGAGUUGAAGCUACUUGGGGUCGGGCUGGAUUUGAACCCAUGAUGGGCAGGCUCCUUGUUUUUGUCACAAAGGGCUCCACCGCCAAGCAGACCCAGGCUCAGACCCAACAAAGGGCCUUGUGUUGUCAAAGACUUUCAUGGCUGGCACAGGGUUGUUGUGUGUUUUCCGGGCUGUGUGGCCAUGUUCCAGAUGAACCAUGUUCAUGAUGAACCAACCUGGACACAGUAUAUUAUUUGAGAGCACAGAAAUGCUCGACCACUCUAACAACUAUUAUGUCAGACAACACAGAGAAGCCAUUGAAAUCCACAAUUUGGACAAUUUCAACAGAAAGGAGGAAACCAUGAAAAAUGAAUAAAAUCUAGCUCUCAAUAUUUAAAAACUCUCAAAUCAGGACAGUAAAUAAAGAGCCAAAUUCAGAAAACAGAGAAAUUCCAGACAGGAAUCAAUCAGGGGCAGCUAACGACUCUGAACAAAGAAUUCCCCCCAGGCCAUGAUGCGAGGCUGGGGAGGGCAUUUAAUGCUAGCAAUAGUGAUUAAUUACCACCCUGAGUCCCUUUGGGUGAGAAGGAUGGGAUAGAAAUGAUGGAAAUUAAUUGAUUAAUUUAUGGAAAUUAAUUAAUUAAUUAUUACAACAUUCACACUGGCCUCCAACAGACAAGAGUUAUUCCCUCCACCCAGGAACUUCCACAGAUAUAUAAACCUUCCUUGCUUAGUUUCUCCAUACACCUCACAACCUCUGAGGAUGCCUGCCAUAGAUGUGGGCGAAACGUCAGGAGAGAAUGCUUCUGGAACAUGGCCAUACGGCCCGGAAAACACACAACAACCCGCAGGGCCUUGUGAUUGACAGUUUCUCCUUUUACCUGGGAUGAAAAAGGUAGCCCUCUUGUCGCGCUCUCCUUGGCAUUAUGUAAGAGCUGGGCCUCCCCAGCACCUGGUCGCUUCUCUCACAACACAACGUGUGUGUGUGUGUGUGUGUGUGUUAAAAUUACCUGGCUUCCCAAUUCUUCUAACAUGUACAACUGAACCAUUUCUGGGUCCCAUAUCCCAUUUCUUUCUCGAUUCUAGCUCAGAUGUGUCUUCAUGCCCAUAUGUGGGGGGCAUCAAACCAGUUGUGAUCACAACACAAAGUGUGUGUGUGUGUGUGUGUGUGUGGAAAUUACCUGGCUUCCAUGUGUGUGUGUGUGGAAAUUACCUGGCUUCCCAAUUCCUCCUCUAACAUGUACAACUGAACCAACCUCUCCGAAACCCAUUUCUGGGUCCCAUAUCCCAUUUGUUUCUCGAUUCUAGCUCGGAUGUGUCUGCAUGCCCAUAUGUGGCGGGUAUCACACCAGUUGUGACUCAAAAGAGUCUGCAUGUUUUUGGGGUGCCUCUGCUCUCUGUAAGUGCCAUCCGGUCGUUUGCGUUGAGCCAUGAUUCUCCCGGCAAAUACGGUUGGAGGCUUUGCCUUGUUUUGCCCCUUUCUCGUGCAUUGGGGCCGUCUUGUUUUGUGUGCCGUGCGCCAGCUGCAGAGAUGCCGACGGGUCUCCAUUUUGGCCCGCUUGCAUCGAAAGGAUGCGUUUCGUUCAGGAAAAGGGAGGAAUUGGGGAGAGGGAGAUCUGCUCCGGGUUGUGCCAGGGACCCUUGCGAGGCAUCUUGGCAGCGAGUGGCUCUUUGUUCACGUGCCGCUCACCAAUGCCGAGAAGCAGCGAUGGCAGGGAGGAGGCGGCUUUUCCUUCUCCUCUCGGCAAAGGCCAUGCCAACAGCAGUUCAGGGAAAGAGCUGAGCCCGAGAAGCUGGGAAUUCAUGUAUUUUCUCCUUUCCUCUCUGCCGACCCUUUGACAUGUUUUAGGCGGGGCGUGAGAUGGCGUUUCCUUCCUGUCUCUUCCACCUGGCACGUCCCAUUGUGCAAAGGAAGCUCUGGAGCACAUGCUGGGAUGUGGGCUUUUAAAGCCACCUUCCUACUAAAGCAUUUUCCACCUACCGUAUAUACUCGAGUAUAAGCCAACCCGAAUAUAAGCCAAGGCACCUAAUUUUACCACAAAAAAACUGGGAAAACAUUGACUCCAGUAUAAGCCGAGAUAACAAUAAAAUUACCGUAUAUACUCGAGUAUAAGGGCUCAGGUUGUGGCGCAGGCUGGAGAGCAAGCCAGCUGAAACUAGCUGCAAUGAAUCACUCUGACCAGGAGGUCAUGAGUUCGAGGCCCGCUCGGAGCCUAUGCUUGUCUUGUCUUUGUUCUAUGUUAAAAAGGCAUUGAAUGUUUGCCUAUAUGUGUAAUGUGAUCUGCCCUGAGUUCCCUUCGGGGUGAGAAGGGCGGAAUAGAAAUACUGUAAAUAAUAAAUAAAUAAAUAAGCCGACCCAAUAUAAGCCGAGGCACCUAAUUUUACCACAAAAAACUGGGGAAACAUUGACUCCAGUAUAAGCCAAGAUACCAAUAAAAUUACCAUAUAUAUUUGAGUGUAAGCCGACCUGAAUAUAAGCCCACCAGGACCCUCACCCGAGUAUAAGCCAAGGAGGGGUUUUUUUUUUCAGUCCUAAAAAAGGGCUGAAAAUCUAGGGUUAUACUCGUGUAUAUACGGUAAAUGUUAGGAAGGACUUCCUGAUGUGUUGUCAAAGGCUUUCACGGCCGGGAUCACAAGGUUGUUGUGUGUUUUCUGGGCCUUAUUCCAGAAGUAUUCUCUCCUGACAUUUCACCCACAUCUAUGGCAGGCAUCCUCAGAGGUUGUGAGGUACAGAAUCCUAGAGUUGGAAAGGGACCACAAAGGUUAUCCAUUCCAACUCCCUGCCAAGAAGGAAGAUUGAGUCCCUGCCUCUCCUGAAAUCCUAGUCUUCUGCACUUUAUCACUAGCUAAUGCGGUGCUGGUGGCUCAAUGUGUUAAAGCGCUGAGCUGCUGAACUUGCAGAUCAAAAGGUCCCAGGUUCAAAUCCGGGAAGUGGAGUGAGCGCCUGCUGUAAGCUCCAGCUUCUGCCAACCUAGCAGUUCGAAAACAUGCCAAUGUGAGUAGAUCAAUAGGUACCGCUCCGGCGGGAAGAUAACGGCGCUCCAUGCAGUCAUGCCAGUGGCCACAUGACCUUGGAGGUGUCUACGGACAACGCUGGCUCUUCGGCUUAGAAAUGGAGUUGAGCACCAACCCCCAGAGUCGGACACAACAAGGCUUAACGUCAGGGAAAAACCUUUACCUUUUUACUAUUGCGAUUAGCACUCCUAACACAUUGCACAAUUAUAAUUUUAUUCCUCUCCUCCAAGACUGAAGCUUGAGGUGCCAUUAUGUCGCCUUUGUCCACUGGCUACAUUUUUAUUUUGUGAUGUUGUGUUUUAUAGUUUUGAUACAUUAAUCUGUUGCAAUUGGUUUGUAUUUUAUAUUGUUGUAUUUUAUUGUAUAUUGUUGGGCCUGGUCCCCAUGUAAACCGCCAUGAGUCCCCUUAGGGAGAUGGGACAGGAUACAAGAAUAAAGUUAUUAUUAUUAUUAUCAUCAUCAUCACCAUCAUUAUUCUGACACAAAGACACAACAAAUGAAAUCCAGCAUAUAUAUCUUGUUUGCUGUGCCAUACCGUGUUUUUGCGUCAUAUUAUUAUUAUUAUUAUUACAGUAGAGUCUCACUUAUCCAAGCUAAACGGGCCAGCAGAAGCUUGGAUAAGCAAAUAUCUUGGAUAAUAAGGAGAAAUUAAGGAAAAGCCUAUUAAACAUCAAAUUAGGUUAUGAUUUUACAAAUUAAGUACCAAUACAUCAUUUUAUACAACAAAUUUGACAGAAAAGGUAGUUCAAUACGCAGUAAUGUUAUAUUGUAAUUACUGUAUUUGCGAAUUUGGCACCAAAAUAUCACGAUAUAUUGAAAACAUUGACUACAAAAAUGUCUUGGAUAAUGCAGAACCUUGGAUAAGCGAGUCUUGGAUAAGUGAGACUCUACUGUAGUUAAAUAUGCAGUAAUAUUAUGUUGUAAUUACUAUAUUUACAAAUUUAGCACCAAAAUAUCAUGAUAUAUUGAAAACAUUGACUACAAAAAUGCCUUGGAUAACCCAGAACCUUGGAUAAGGGAGUCUUGAAUAAGGGAGAUUCUACUGUAGUUCAAUACGCAGUAAUGUUAUGUAGUAAUUACUGUAUUUACGAAUUUAACACCAAAAUAUCACGAUAUAUUGAAAACAUUGACUACAAAAAUGCGUUGGAUAAUCCAGAACCUUGGAUAAGCGAGUCUUGGAUAAGUGAGACUCUGCUGGAGUUCAUUACGUAGUAAUGUUAUGUUGUAAUUACUGUAUUUAUGAAUUUAGCACCAAAAUAUACCAUAGAAAAUACAGUAGAGUCUCACUUAUCCAAGACUCGCUUAUCCAAGGUUCUGGAUUAUCCAGUGCAUGAUGUUUUGGUGCUUAACUUGUAAAAUCAUAACCUAAUUUGAUGUUUAAUAGGCUUUUCCUUAAUCCCUCCUUAUUAUCCAAGAUAUUCGCUUAUCCUAGCUUCUGCCGGCCUGUUUAGCUUGGAUAAGUGAGACUCUACUGUAUUUACACAAAGCUCAAAUUUAAGAUCAGACUGUCCAACUCUGAUCAAAUCAUUAUUCUCAUCUUCUUCAAUGUAAAUGUGCUUAUGUAUCCUUUUAAUAAUAAUACUAGAGUAAAAUAAUACAUGUAAUAAUAAUAAUACUAAAUACAGGAAAAUAAUACAUGUAAUAAUAGAGUGCAAUAAGAAAUGCAAUAAUAAUAAUAAAAUGAGUGAAAUAAUAAAUGUAUUAAUAAUAAUAAUACAAAUAGAGUAAAAUAAAUGUAAUAGUAGCAACAAUAAUAGAGAAAAAUAAUAAAUGUAAUAAUACCAAUAAUAAUAGAGAAAAAUAUAAAUAUCUAUAUAUAUAAAUGAGUGAUGGCAUCACGGCGACCCACAAAACAACAAAACUACAGGCCCCCCAACCUCAAAAUUUGACAACACAACCCAUCAUCCAUGCCUCUAGGUUGAUACAACAAAAAGAAAAGAAAAAUAAAGUCCUACUUAGAGGGAGAGCAAUAAUUGUUUUUAUCCAAUUGCUGCCACUUAGAAGGCUAAGCUCCGCCCACUUGGUAUCCUAGCAACCCACUCAGCCCAGUGUUAAUAAAAGAAUAAAAAAUAAAAUACAUACAAAUAAUACAAUAAAAAUAAUUUAAAACACUAAAAAAUUAAUACAAUAAAAUACUAUAACAAAAUAACUAAAAAUAAUACAACAAAAUAAUAAAAUAUAAUAAAUAAAAAAGAUAAGUUACAAUAAAAUUAAUUAAAAAAAAUACAAAUAAUGUCAAAUAAAAAUUCCACAACAACUUUUAACCAAUACCACCACCACUUUGCCACAGUAACGUGUGGCUGGGCACAGCUAGUACCAUAUAUUAUCGAGUAUAAGCUGACCCAAAUAUAAGCCAACCAGGAUCCUCACCUGAGUAUAAGCCGAGGGGGGCUUUUUCAGUCUUAAAAAAGGAUGAAAAACUAGGCUUAUAUAUAGAGUAUAUACACUAAAUCUACAUUAAUUUAAAGUGUAUACACUAAAUCUACAUUAAGGAGUCUCUUUGUUCCAAACCUUUUGAGAUUUGUGAACAGAAGUUGGAUGGGCAUCUGUUGGGAGGGUUCGGAUUGUGUCUUCCUGCCUGGCAGAAUAAGAUCUGUUCCAACUCUAGGAUGCUAUGAUGUGUUUUGUUUUGUAUCAUACCAAAGGGCACACAGGGCAAACAACACACAUAGGAGGAACCAAUCCAGAACAAGAAUGUCUAGUUGUAAGUCACUGGACUGGGACUUUGUGAGAUCAAGGUUCAAAACCCUGGCGAAGCAAAACACAUCAUUGUGCGAUGUUGGAUCUUUCAUUCCCUCUAUCUAACCACAAUCUAUCUUUUGCUGAGUUGUUGUUGUGAGGAUGCCUUGGAAAAGAAUGACAAGUUAUAAAUAAUAACCUCUUGUUAAGAUGUUUGUCUUUAAAUGGGAAGUUUUUUUAAUAAGAUGCUCAGCGGCAGCUUUGAAUGACAGAUAUAUAUUUUGGAAAUGUGAAUGGAUUGUCCGAGUUGGGUUGUUGUGUGUUUGGCCAUGUUCCAGAAGCAUUCUCUCCUGACGUUUCGCCCACAUCUAUGGCAGGCAUCCUUAGACGUUGUGAGGUCUGUCGGAAACUAUUCCAUAUGUGUUUAUGGAAUAAUGUUCAGGGCGGGAGAAGGAACUCUUGUGUGUUGGAGGCAAGUGGGAACGUUGCCGCUGGCCGCCUUGAUUAGCACUGAAUAGCCUUGCAGCUUCAAAGCCUGGCUGCUUCCUGCCUGGGGGAAUCUUUUGUUGGGAGGUGUUAGCUGGCCCUGAUAUACUAUUUGGAACUGGUGGAGUCUCCUUUCUCUUGAAUAGGCUUUUCCUUAAUUACAUCAUAACAUUACUGCGUAUUGAACUACUUUUUCUGCCAGAUUUGUUGUAAAACAUGAUGUUUUGGUGCUUAAUUUGUAAAAUCAUAACCUAAUGUAAUGUUUAAUUUGCUUUUCCUUAAUCCCUCCUUAUUAUCCAAGGUAUUCGCUUAUCCAAGGUUCUGCCAGCCCAUUUAGCUUGGAUAACUGAGACUCUACUGUAUACCAAAGAAAAACUUACAUAAAAGCAAAGAGAUAGAUAUUUAUCAUUACCUAUCCCAAAAUCUCUCACUUUGGGAGGUUAAGCGAUCUAUUAUUGGUUAAUCCAGAACAUAUUUUAAUAUACAGUAGAGUCUCACUUAUCCAACACUCGCUUAUCCAACGUUCUGGAUUCUCCAACACAUUUUUGUAGUCAAUGUUUUCAAUACAUCAUGAUAUUUUGGUGCUAAAUUCGUAAAUACAGUAAUUACUACAUAGCAUUACUGCGUAUUGAACUACUUUUUCUGUUAAAUUUGUUCUCUAACAUGAUGUUUUGGUGCUUAUUUUGUAAAAUCAUAACCUAAUUUGAGGUUUAAUAGGCUUUUCCUUAAUCCCUCCUUAUUAUCCAACAUAUUCGCUUAUCCAACGUUCUGCCGGCCCGUUUAUAUUGGAUAAGUGAGACUCUACUGUAGUUUUAUUAUAAAGACUGGGGGAAUUAGGCUUUAUUUGUCUUGUCAAAGGCUUUCAUGGCUGGAAUCACUAGGUUGCUGUGAGUUUUCCAGGCUGUAUGGCCAUGAUCCGGAAGCAUUCUCUCCUGACGUUUCGCCCACAUCUGUGGCAGGCAUCCUCAGAGGUUGUGAGAUCAGUUGGAAGCUAGGCAAGUGGGGUUUAUAUAUCUGUGGAAUAAUGUCCAGGGUGGGAAAAAAGAACUCUUGCUUGUUUGAAGCAAGUGUGAAUGUCGCCAUUGGCCAGCUUGGUUAGCCUUGAAUAGCCUUGCAGCUUCACAGCCUGGCUGCUUCCUGACUGGGGAAUUCUUUGUUGGCUAAUUGCAACAUUCACACUUGCCUCAAAUAGGCAAGGGUGCUUUCUUUCUCUCACCCUGGACAUUAUUCCACAGAUAUAUAAUAAACCCCACUUGCCUGUUUUCUGAGAGACCUCACAACCUCUGAGGAGUCCUGCCAUAGAUGUGGGUGAAACGUCAGGAGAGAAUGCUUCAGGCCUUUUAGAGGGCCAACGUUUCCUGGCUUGGUUGGACAGUUCGCAGGGUAAUACCUGCUUGGAUCCGUCUAAUAUCUAUAUCUAUUUAAAUUCUUCCACCUCGCUCUCUGAAGUUGUCAAGGCUAAGCCUUUCUAGAAACUGGACUAAGCUCCUUGACCUGGUCAAAGUGAGAGUAGGCUGCUGAACUUGUUGCACAACUUCUCUUUAUUGUAAUUCUAUCCUUCCUUUCCUAUAGGAAGCAUAGAGCAAUACACACUUGUGUGUUUUCCGGGCUAUAUGGCCAUGUUCCAGAAGUAUUCUCUCCUGAUGUUUCACCCACAUCUAUGGCAGGCAUCCUCAGAGGUUGUGAGGUCCAAAGAUGUAUAUAAACCUCAGCCUCCUAAAAUGUAUGCAGACUCCCAGCCUCUUAGGUGGAGUUCAGGAUGUUGCUUUUUACCUUUUGAAGUUUUCUGGGUCUGAGAAACUAGUCUUACUAUGGUUAUUCUUCUGUUCUGGAGCUGCCCAAGGUCUCCAAAGUCUUGUUUAAAAGACAAUACUGAGCAAGGUAUAAUAGGUAAUAUUUAUUAUUUAUUUUAUUUACAAGGACUAUCCAGAAAGUAGAUUACGUUUUGGAAUUAAAAAUGAACUAAGCAUAGGAGAAAACAUAUGCAGUUGAAAGCCACACCCAAAUACCACUUCUCAACAGAGCCGCCAUUCAAAUCUAGGCACUUAUUAUAGUGAUGAAGGAGCUUGGCAACUCCUUCCCCACAAAACUCUGCCGCUUGCGUCCUCAAAAAGUAUAGGAGAAAACAUUUACCAUAUGCAGUUGAAAGCCACACCCAAAUACCACUUCUCAACAUAGUCGCCAUUCUAAUCCAGGCACUUAUCAUAGCAAUGAAUGAGCUUGGCAACUCCUUCCCCACAAAACUCUGCCGCUUGUGCCCUCAAAAAGUAUAGGAGAAAACAUUUACCAUAUGCAGUUGAAAGCCACAUCCAAAUACCACUUCUCAACAUAGUCGCCAUUCAAAUCUAGGCACUUAUCAUAGCAAUGAAUGAGCUUGGCAACUCCUUCCCCACAAAACUCUGCCGCUUGUGCCCUCAAAAAGUAUAGGAGAAAACAUUUACCAUAUGCAGUUGAAAGCCACACCCAAAUACCACUUCUCAACAUAGUCGCCAUUCUAAUCCAGGCACUUAUCAUAGCAAUGAAUGAGCUUGGCAACUCCUUCCCCACAAAACUCUGCCGCUUGUGCCCUCAAAAAGUAUAGGAGAAAACAUUUACCAUAUGCAGUUGAAAGCCACACCCAAAUACCACUUCUCAACAGAGCCGCCAUUCAAAUCUAGGCACUUACCAUGGCGAUGAAUGAACUUGGCAACUCCUUCCCCACAAAACUCUGCCGCUUGCGUCCUCAACCAGCUGGUCACCCCUGACCGCAGCUGCGCAUCGUCGCUUAUCCAAGCUUCUGCUGGCCCAUUUAGCUUGGAUAAGUGAGACUCUACUGUAUUAUUAUUAUUGAGGUUGGGUGGCCAUCUGUCAGGGAUGCCUUGCUUGUGUUUUUAGUGCAGAAAGACAGAAGAGGGUUGGACUAAAUGGCUCGAGGGGUCUCUUCCAACCCUUAUUAUUGUUAUUAUUAUUAUUAUUAUUAUUAUUAUUAUUAUUAUUAUUAUUAUUGAGGUUGGGUGGCCAUCUGUCAGGGAUGCUUUGCUUGUGCCUUUGGUGCACAAAGGCAGAAGGGGCUUGGACUCAAUGGCCCAAGGGGUCUCUUCCAAUCCUAAUAAUAAUAAUAAUAAUAAUAAUAAUAAUAAUAAUAAUAAUAAUAAUAAUAAUGUAGUUGGACUAAAUGGCCCAAGCGGUCUCUUCCAACCCUCAUAAUAAUAGUAAUAAUAAUAAUAAUAAUAAUAAUAAUAAUAAUAAUAAUAAUAAUAAUAAUAAUAAUGGGGUUGGACUAAAUGGCUCAAGGGGUCUCUUCCAACACUUAUUAUUAUUAUUAUUAUUAUUAUUAUUAUUAUUAUUAUUAUUAUUAUUAUUAUUAUUAACAAUGAGGCUGGGAGGCCAUCUGUCAGGGAUGCUUUGCUUGUGCUUUUGGUGCACAAAGGCAGAAGGGGCUUGGACUCAAUGGCCCAAGCGGUCUCUUCCAACCCUCUUUAUGAUGAUGAUGAUGAUGAUUAUUAUUAUUAUUAUUAUUAUUGCUCAGUGGCCAACUAUAGUCUGGCCCUCCAAAGGGGAGGGGUCAUGAACUGGCCCCCUGUUUUAAAAGUUUGGGGACCCCUGUAUUAUAUUAUUAGUAUAGCAUAAUAUAACCAGACUUCCACGUGACCUCUAAGGCUGAAGUCCAAGUGCUGGUUGCAACUAGAGUAGACCCAUAAAUGAUUGACAUUUGUGUCGAUUUAUUCAAGCAGUUGCCUCACUGGACGUGCUCGAGGUGGGACCAGCAAUUAGAUUUCGGCCUAAGAAUCAAAUGCUGCAUUUGCAUCCAUUUCACAGCAUGAUCAAUACAUGAUCCGAUCUCGAUCGGCUUCCUGCUCGGGCACUUCUUGUUUUACAGAUGGGUAAAACUGAGGCGGAGAGAUGCGUUGGCGAAUUUCUAAUCUGCUCCUCGUUGCGCCCGAGGGCUGCCACAAUUUGAGGACAACGCAUUCCUGCAGAUAUGGAUUAAGCAAGGAUCGAGAAUAUUUCUUUUGAAGAAAAAAUUGUGGGAAACUCAGACAGACAUUCGCUUAAGAAUAUGGGGCAACAAGCUGUUUUAGAUCAUUCUUUUUCUAUCCCCUUUGUAGCUACUUCUCUUUUAUGUCCUAUUUACUGCCAAUUCAGGUUAUUUGUCUCUCUUUACACCAACAUUUUCCAUUCGAACUGGCAGCUGCUUGGGAGGAUCCAAAGAAAAUGCUGCAUGAAAUACCACUGAGCUCUGGAUUUACGUAAAAUAUAUGUUUCCGGAUGUUGUAGAGCCAAAGAAAUCAUUCCAUUAAACAGGGACAAACGAAGUAUGAUACAACAGGUUAGAUGCCACAGGACCAUCACACUCAGUAUUAUCUACAGUAUAUGGGCUGGGCUUUAAUAAUAAUAAUAAUAAUAAUAAUAAUAAUAAUAAUAAUAAUAAUAAAACCUAACUUGAUGUUUAAUGGGCUUUUCCUUAAUCCCUCCUUAUUAUCCAAGAUAUUCGUUUAUCCAAGGUUCUACUGGCCUAUUUAGCUUGAAUAAGUGAGACUCUACUGUAUUAUUAUUAUUAUUAUUAAUAUUAUUAUUACUAUUAUUAUUUAUUACAUACAGGAAGUAUGAUACAACAGGUUAGAUGCCACAGGACCAUCACAGUAUUGUCUACAGUAUAUGGGCUGGGCUUUAAUAAUAAUAAUAAUAAUAAUAAUAAUAAUAAUAAUAAUAAUAAUAAUAAAACCUAAUUUGAUGUUUAAUGGGCUUUUCCUUAAUCCCUCCUUAUUAUCCAAGAUAUUCGUUUAUCCAAGGUUCUGCUGGCCUGUUUAGCUUGAAUAAGUGAGACUCUACUGUAUUAUUAUUAUUAGUAGUAGUAGUAUUAUUAUUACUAUUAUUAUUUAUUUUUUAUGAAAUCCAGCAUGUCUAUCUUGUUUGCUGUGUCAUAAUAAAUAAUAAUAAUAAUACAGUAGAGUCUCACUUAUCCAAGCUAAACGGGCCGGCAGAAGCUUGGAUAAGCGAAUAUCUUGGAUAAUAAGGAGGCAUUAAGGAAAAGCCUAUUAAACAUCAAAUUAGGUUAUGAUUUUACAAAUGAAGCACCAAAACAUCAUGUUAUACAACAAAUUUGGCAGAAAAAGUAGUUCAAUACGCAAUAAUAUUAUGUUGUAAUUACUGUAUUUACGAAUUUAGCACCAAAAUAUCACGAUAUAUUGAAAACAUUGACUACAAAAAUGGCUUGGAUUAUCCAGAGGCUUGGAUAAGCGAGGCUUGGAUUAGUGAGAUUCUACUGUAAUAAUAAUAAUAGUAAUUACAACAUAAUAUCACUGUGUAUUGAACUGCUUUUUCUGUUGAUUUGUUGUAAAACAUGAUGUUAUUAUUAUUAUUAUUAUUAUUAUUAUUAUUAUUAUUAAUUUAUUUAUUUAUUUUAUGAAAUCCAGCAUGUCUAUCUUGUUUGCUUUGUCAUACAAUAAAAUAAUAAUAAUAGUAAUAGUAAUAAUAAUAAUAAUAAUAAUAAUAAUAAUAAUAAUAAUAAUAAUACAGUAGAGUCUCACUUAUCCAAGCUAAACGGGCCGGCAGAAGCUUGGAUAAGCGAAUAUCUUGGAUAAUAAAGAGGGAUUAAGGGAAAGCCUAUUAAACAUCAAAUUAGGUUAUGAUUUUACAAAUUAAGCACCAAAACAUCUUGUUAUACAACAAAUUUGACAGAAAAAAUAGUUCAAUAUGCAGUAAAGUUAUGUUGUAAUUACUGUAUUUAUUAAUUUAGCACCAAAAUAUCAUACAGUAGAGUCUCACUUAUCCAACAUAAAUGGGCUGGCAGAACGUUGGAAAAGCGAAUAUCUUGGAUAAUAAGGAGGGAUUAAGGAAAAGCCUAUUAAACAUCAAAUUACAUUAUGAUUUUACAAAUUAAGCACCAAAACAUCAUGUUUUACAACAAAUCAACAGAAAGAGCAGUUCAAUGCACAGCAAUGUUAUGUAGUAAUUACUGUAUUUACAAAUUUAGCACUAAAACAUCACAAUGUAUUGAAAAGAUUCACUACAAAAAGGCAGACUGCGUUGGAUAAUCCAGAACGUUGGAUAAGCAAAUGUUAGAUAAGUGAGACUCUACUGUAUAUUGCAAACAUUGACUACAAAAAGGCAGACUGCGUUGGAUAAUCCAGAAGUUUGGAUAAGCGAGGCUUGGAUAAGUGAGACUCUACUGUAGUAAUAAUAAUAAUACUUGGGAAGUGUUCGACUUGUUCAAUUUUGUGAUAUGAAAUCCAGUAUGUCUGUCUUGUUUGCUGUGUCAUAAUAAAAUAAUAAUAAUAAUAAUAAUAAUAAUAAUAAUAAUAAUAAUAAUAAUAAUGCACGCAUCAUCUGAAAAUACAUCACACGGUCCUAGACACUUGGGAAGUGUUCGACUUGUGAUUUUGUGAUACGAAAUCCAGCAUGUCUGUCUUGUUUGCUGUGUCAUAAUAAAAUAAUAAUAAUAUUUAUUUAUUUAUUUACAGCAUUUAUAUUCCGCCCUUCUCACCCCAAAGGGGACUCAGGGCGGAUCACAUUACACAUAUAGGCAAACAUUCAAUGCCUUUUUAACAUAGAACAAAGACAAACAAACAUAGGCUCCGAGCGGGUCUCGAACUCAUGACCUCCUGGUCAGAGUGAUUCAUUGCAGUUAAUUGGCUUGCUCUCCUGCCUGCGCCACAGCCCGGACCCUAUUAUUAUUAUUACAGUCCUAGACACUUGGGAAGUGUUCGACUUGUGAUUUUGUGAUAUGAAAUCCAGCAUAUCUAUCUUGUUUGCUGUGUCAUAAUAAAUAAUAAUAAUAAUAAUAAUAAUAAUAAUAAUAAUAAUAAUAAUAAUAAAGAGAGUUGGAAGAUACCCCUUGGGCCAUUUAGUCCAACCCGCCAGGAAAGCUUAGUGCCGUCAAAUCAAGAAUCCAACUUCAUUUAGAGAAAGCAAUCUGUUUCAGUCCUGGAUCCUGACAAACAGAAUGGGAGCCCAGAGCUCUUGCAUUCUAAUAAGACUUGGCCAAGGUUGCCAAAUCAUGAAUGCAAAGCACAUGUGUUGCGGAAAUUCCAUCAAGCUAACAAUAUUUGAUAAAUGCUUUGACUAUAAGCUGUCACUGGGCCAUGUAUAGACUCCUUUAAGUUAAAUAAAUAACCAUUCCCCGGUCCUUGCUAAGUAAGCCAUUCCAUACUCAUCACAGGGAAUGAGCUAUAGACCUUGUAACCUUCACAGCCAGCUUGUCCUUUGGAAGGAAAUCUCCCGGAACCACAAUGCACAACGGGAAGGGAGGCACAAACACGUUGGUUUCCCCGUCGUAGGCUUUCCUGUUUAUUGAGCAUCCAUUGCCGGGUCUUUUAUUGUAUUGGUUGCAUUUUUGAUCAUUUUAAUAGAACUGUAAAACCGUUCCGAAUGAACGUUUUAGUAUGAUUGCUUAAUUGGCUUUCAGGUUUAGUUAUUAUCUAUGAUUUUAAUUGCUCGUAUUGUGAGAUGCCGUAGGUCCCGGAAAGGUGCGGUGUAAAUUAAAAGCAACACACAGAUGUGCAGGGAAACGGCACCAGAGCCCGACGGAGCACGUCAUGGAUUUGUUCUCCAUGCCCAUUUUUCAGACCAGGAAAACUCAAGGGCCUUAAACAAGCUAAGAUGUUAAGCCAAGUCUCCUCUAAAGUGCGCCAGAAUAUUUUUCAAGAGUGCUACCGAGAAAUGUCUUUGGAGACGUUGUGAUUGUCGUUGGCUGAGCUAUUGAAUUUGGAAUCAGGCUGUAGGCUAGCCUUGCUUUGCUGGUUCCUCUUUGGAGAUGAGAUCAGGUUUGGAGACCAAAACUUAUAAGGAGCAGCUUAGGAACCUGGAGCAAAGAAAGCUCCGGAGACUAGGACACAAUUCAUUCAUUUACUGUAUAUUAGACAUGUCCAAAAAAUCGUUUUGAAUCGUAUAUCGGAAUUAUUUCGGAUUGUUCUCGCUUUUUGAUACGCAUUCCGAGACAUUGUCUCACAGCGCAACCAGCAAUGUAAUUCGAACCAUUGUUGGCCCAUUCUCUAAUUGUCUCUUAAUGUUUCGUUAAUUUCCCCCCACCAAAAUUUUUUUUAAUAUAUUUUAAAAAAUAUUUAAAAAAAUUGUUUCUGCAACCUACCUAGAAUGGGAGCUUAGGGCAGCCUAACAUGGCUACCACUCCCAGGCCAAUCAGAAGCUUCCACGAUGGACACAAAGGUGGGGGCUAGGUUUGAUGAGGAUAGCUCAAGAAAUGAGGGCGGGAGAACCCUGUAAAAGUCCCCCCCCCCCCCGGGUUCCUUUUUUUUUUUUUUUUGCGAUUGCGCAUGCGUGUCCGCCAUUUUAGAAACAUUUAGAAUCAUUACGAAUUUUUGGAAAUAUUCGAAAUUUUUGGGUGAAAAAAUCGGAAAUACUUUCUAUAUCGAAGCGCCAGCGCCCCCUACUUUAGAAACGAGAAUUGAAACAUUUUUUUCAUCGAUCGGACAUGCCUACUAUAUAUACACGAGUAUAAGCCUAGUUUUUCAGCCCUUUUUUUAAGACUGAAAAAGCCCCCCUCGGCUUAUACUCGGGUCAGGGUCCUGGUUGGCUUAUAUUUGGGUCAGCUUGUACUCGGGAAUAUAUGGUACAUUUAUUAUUUUUCUCUAUCAUUAUUGGUAUUUUUAUAUUUAUUAUUUUUCUCUAUUAUUGUUGCUACUAUAAUAAUAAUAAUAAUAAUAAUAAUAAUAAUAAUAAUAAUAAUAAUAAUAAUAAUAAAUAAAACUUUAUUUAUACCCCACCACCAUCUCCCCGUGGCAGAGGCCCAAACAACAUAAGGACAAAAUAUAAGCAACAUAAUACAAUCACAAUAUAAAACAGAUAAAACAGUAAUACAAUAUAUCAAUUAAAACAAUACAGGAUAAAAAAUUACAUUAAAAACACAUAAAAGGUAAGACCGUAAUAAAUACAGGAUAGAUUAUUAAAAACCCUUUGGGGCUGAUUAAUUAAUGACUUUAAUGAAUCCCAUAAUUCCCAUCAGAGUCAUCUUGAAACUCAUCCUGAACCUGAAUCCCAUCACCUUGAAACUGCAUCCCAGAAUCCUCAUCAGAGUCACACAAAGGCUGAGUCACAACAGCAAGUCACAAGGCUUUAACCCACUAUGCCACCGGGAGUACAGUUAUCAUGGAUAGAAAAAGUUGCCAGUCUCUCAUCCGGUAUCAAACAUAGAUUGAGGUUUCGGGUUUUAGCCUGCCACUUUUGGACUCUCGCUUGCUGAGGUGUUCCUGCGAGUAUCUCUGUGGAUCUUAGGAAGCUAUUUCUUGAUUUUAGGCAUUGGCAUGCUGGUUGAUAUCCGAACAGGAGAUGUCACUGCCUUGGUCUUUUCAUUGCUGGCUGCUACUUCAGGUGGUGCAAUACUGGCUAAAGAGUAUAAUUUCUCUAGCGGUGUUGGGUGUAGACAUCCUGUGAUAAUGUGACAUGUCUCAUUAAGAGCCACGUCCACUGUUUUAACGUGGUGAGAUGUAUCCCACACUGGGCAUUCGUAUUCAGUAGCAAAGCGCAACGGCAGAUGUCUUCACCGUGUCUGGUUGUGAUCCCCAGGUUGUUCCAGUCAGCUUUGGUAUGAUAUUAUUUCUAGAACCCACUUUUUGCUUCUUAUAAGUCAGAGCACGGUCCAGGAUAACUACCAGGUAUUUUGUUGUGCUGGGAUUCCUUCCCAGGUCAUCCUCAGAGCUCGAGAUACUUGUCUGUUCUUAAGGUGAAAAGUACAAGCAUUUUAGAUGGAUUAGGAAUCAACUAGUUUUCCCUGUAAUAGGCAGUAAGACCACCUAAAGCUUCAGAGAGCUUCUGUUCAACCAUUUCAAAGCUCCCUGUCUGAGCGGUGAUGACACAAUCGUCAGCAUAGAUGAAACUCUCUGUCUCUUCUGGCACAAUAAAACCAUGGAUUCAAAUGCUAGAAAAAGAGCUUCUACCUAAACCAGGGGUCCUCAAACUUUUUAAGUGGAGGGCAAGUUCACGGUAACUCAGACUGUUGGAGGGCCGGACUAGGAUGAAAUAGUCCAAAAUUAGGAUUGUUGUUGUUGUUGUGUGUCUUCAAGUCGUUUCAGACUUAGGUCAACCCUAAGUCUAAAGUUUAGGACAGAGGCCAGGUGAAUCACCUUGGAGGGCUUUAGUUUGGGGAUCCCUGAUCUAGAUGACCUCAUAAGACCAUACGUAAGCAAAGAGACCCCCAAAGACCAUCUAGAUGGUCUCAUAAGACCAUCGGUAAGGAAAGGCACCCUCAAGGGCCAUCUAGAUGAUCUCUUCAGGCCAUCAGAAGACCACAGAUAAGGAAAGGGACCCUCAAAGACCAUCUAGAUGGUUUCAUAAGAACAUAGGUAAGGAAAGGGACCCCCAAAGGCCAUCUAGAUGGUCUCAUAGGACCAUAAGUAAGGAAAGUGACCUCCAAAAGCCAUCUAGAUGGUCUCAUAGGACCAUAAGUAAGGAAAGUGACCUCCAAAAGCCAUCUAGAUGGUCUCAUAAGGCCGUAGCUAAAUAAAGAGACCUUCAAAGACCAUCUAGAUGAUCUCAUAAGACCAUAGGUAACCAAAGAGACCUCCAAAGACCAUCUAGACCAGGGGUCCCCAAACUAAGGCCCGGGGGCCGGAUGUGGCCCUCCGAGGUCAUUUACCUGGCCCCCGCCCUCAGUUUUAUAAUAUAAUAUAUUGUAUAUACAUAUAAUAUUGAUAAUAAUAUUAUAAUGUAAUACAAUAUAACACUAAUAAUAAUACCAUAUAAUAAUAUUAAUUAUAUAUUCUAUAUUACAUAUAAUAUUACUAAUAAUAUUACAGUAUAGUUCAAUGAAGUAAUAUAUAAUGCUAAUAUUGUGUUAUGCUAAUAAUAUAAUAUAUUGUAUGUACAUAUAAUUUGUAAGCCACUCUGAGUCCCCUUUGGGGUGAGAAGGGUGUGAUACAAAUGUAGUAAAUAAAUGCAGUAAAUAAAUAAAUAAUAAAUAAAUACAUUUUAGACUUAGGCUCGCCCAAAGUUUGAAAUGACUUGAAGGCACACAACAACAACAACAACAACAACAAGCCUAAUUAACUUGACUAUCUCAUUGGCCAGAAGCAGGAGUACACUUCCCAUUGAAAUCCUGAUAAAUGUAUGUUGGUUAAAAUUAUUUUUAUUUUUAAAUAUUGUAUUGUUCUUUCAUUGUUGUUGUUUUUGCACUACAAAUAAGACAUGUACAGUGUGCAUCGGAAUUUGUAUUUUUUUUUUCAAAUGAUAAUCCAGCCCCUCAACAGUUUGAAGGAUUGUGGACCGGCCCUCGGCUUAAAAAGUUUGAGGACCCCUGAUCUAGACAGUCUCAUAGGAUCAUAGAUAUGGAAGGUGACCUCCAAAAGCCAUCUAGAUGGUUUCAUAAGGCCAUAGCUAAGUAAGAGACCUUCAAAGACCAUCUAAAUGAUCUCAUAAGACCAUAGGUAACCAAAGAGACCUUCAAAGACCAUCUAGACAGCCUCAUAGGACCAUAGGUAUGGAAGGUGACCUCCAAAAGCCAUCUAGAUGGUUUCAUAAGGCCAUAGCUAAGUAAAGAGACCUUCAAAGACCAUCUAAAUGAUCUCAUAAGACCAUAGGUAACCAAAGAGACCUUCAAAGACCAUCUAGACAGCCUCAUAGGACCAUAGGUAUGGAAGGUGACCUCCAAAAGCCAUCUAGAUGGUCUCAUAAGGCCGUAGCUAAGUAAAGAGACCUUCAAAGACCAUCUAAAUGAUCUCAUAAGACCAUAGGUAGCCAAAGAGACUUCAAAGACCAUCUAGACAAUCUCAUAAGACCAUAGGUAACCAAAGAGACCUCCAAAGACCAGAGAGACUUAGGUCAACCCUAAGUCUAAAGUUUAGGACAGGGGCCAGGUCAAUGACCUUGGAGGGGGCCUUAGUUUGGGGACCCCUGACCUAAACGUUAGGAAGAACAUCUUGACAGAAAGAGGAAUGAAUGUGCUGCCUUGGAGUCUGAUGGAAUUUCCUUCUCUGGGUGUUUUUACGCAGAGGAUGAUUGGCCAUCUGUGAGGAGUCCUUUGAGUUGGGUUGGACUUGAUGGCUUGGGGGAUUUAUAGUUUUGUAAUGAACUUUCAGAUCUUUGCUAAGGGGGCUUUGCCGGCCCCUCCUUCUUCCAAGAAGAAAAACCUGGAGAUGAAACCAGGCCACCUUGAGAAGUCCUGCGUCAGAGAAUUGCGCCAGAGCUCCCGGGGAGAGACUCCCAAGCUCUCUCUACGUUCCACAUCCCAUUGGAUGUAGCUGUGAUAAAGUGGUAUCGAACUUACCGUAUAUACUCGAGUAUAAGCUGAGUUUUUCAGCCCUUUUUUAGGACUGAAAAAGCCCCCCUUGGCUAAUACUCAGGUGAGGGUCCUGGCUGGCUUAUAUUCGAGUCAGCUUAUACUCAAGUAUAUAUAGUACAUUUAUUAUGUUUCUCUAUUAUUAUUGGUAUUAUUACAUUCAUUAUUUUACUCUAUUUAUAAUUACAGUAGUGUCUCACUUAUCCAAUACUCGCUUAUCCAACAUUCUGGAUUAUCCAACGCAUUUUUGUAGUCAAUGUUUUCAAUACAUUGUGAUAUUUUGGUGCUAAAUUCGUAAAUACAGUAAUUACAACAUAGCAUUACUGCGUAUUGAACUACUUUUUCUGUCAAAUUUGUUGUAUGACAUGAUGUUUUGGUGCUUAAUUUGUAAAAUCAUAACCUAAUUUGAUGUUUAAUAGUCUUUUCCUCAAUCUCUCCUUAUUAUCCAACAUAUUCGCUUAUCCAAUGUUCUGCCGGCCCAUUUACAUUGGAUAAGCAAAACUCUAUUAUUACAUUUAUUAUUUUACUCUAUUUAUUAUCAUUAUUAAAUUUGUUUUUACUCUAUUAAUAUUGUUACUAUUACAUUUAUUUUACUAUAUUAUUAUUAUUAUUAUUAUUAUUAUUAAUACAUUUAUUAUUUCACUCCGAUACAAUUAUUGUUACAUUUAUUAUUUUUAAUCUAUUUAUUUUUACAUUUAUUAUUUUACUGUAUUUGUUAUCAUUAUUACAUUUAUUAUUUUACUCUAUUAAUAUUGUAACUAUUACAUUUACAGUAGAGUCUCACUUAUCCUAGCUAAACGGGCCGGCAGAAGCUUGGAUAAGCGAAUGUCUUGGAUAAUAAGGAGGGAUUAAGGAAAAGCCUAUUAAACAUCAAAUUAGGUUAUGAUUUUACAAAUUAAGCACCAAAACAUCAUGUCAUACAACAAAUUUGACAGAAAAAGUAGUUUAAUACACAGUAAUGUUAUGUUGUAAUUACUGUAUUUACGAAUUUAGUAUCAAAAUAUCACGAUGUAUUGAAAACAUUGACUACAAAAAUGGCGUGGAUAAUCCAGAAGCUUGGAUAAGUGAGGCUUGGAUAAGUGAGACUCUACUGUAUUUUACUCUAUUAUUAUUAUUAAUAAUAAUAAUAGCAACAAUAAUAAUAAUACAUUUAUUAUUUCACUCAGAUACAAUUAUUGUUACAGUUAUUAUUUUAAUCUAUAUAUUUUACACUUAUUAUUUUACUAUAUUUAUUAGUAUUAUUACAUGUAUUUUUACUCUAUUAUUAUUAAAAGGAUACAUAAGCACAUUGACAUUGAAGAAGACGAAAAUAAUGAGAAUUGGACAGUUUUAUCUUAAAUAUUCAAAAACGUUUAACCUACUGAUGCCUCAAUUAAUGUAAUUUUAUUAGUAUCUAUUUUUAUUUCUGAAAUGUCCCACUCUUGGUUUAUACUUGAGUCAAUGUUUCCCCAGUUUUUUUGUGGUAAAAUUAGGUACCUCGGCUUAUAUUCGGGUCAGCUUAUACUCGAGUAUAUACGGUAUAUAACAACAGAGUAUGGACGGCAUCAGACCUCUGAGUCCAUGGUUUCCUUUGUGAGGGCAAGUGUCCAGAAUGCGCCUGCGCGAGGGAGGGAGACCAAAGUGAAAUACCAGGAGAGAUGUUCUUUUUGCACCGAAACACUCAGCGACACAUUCCCUGCCAGCCGAUGAAUCAUCCCGAGCUUUUGAUUAUUCAUGAGAUGCCAAAUGCCCCCCAAAUGGGGAGAACGAGGAUUUGAAACUAGGCCAGUCUGACAACCUUUUGCUUCUCCGGGUUUUGUCGCCUGUCCGUCCAUCCUCUGUCCCCUCCUUCGGCGGUUUGUUUUACUCUCCUUCCUCGAGACCCAAAGGGUAAAAGAUCCAGAAAGCGAGCCCUGCGGAGAUUGGUCGAGGCAGCUGGGGCUGUUUAGCCGCGAGGAGCGAGGAGCGAAAGGUGACAUGUUAGCCAUCUUUAAAUAUCUCCCAGGCUGUCGCAAGGGAGGCAGAGCAAGCUUGUUUUCUGCUGCUCCGGAGGAUAGGGGGAAAAAAGGAUGAGUCUCCAGCAAUGAAGAUUGUGGGGAAAGGAUUAUGACUAAACGUUGGGAAUAACCUCCUGUUUGACAGAGCAAGAGGCAACCUCAAAGCAAGGUGGAGUCUCCUUUAUUUGAGGUUUUGAGACAGAGCUUGUCUGAGAUUGCUCAGUUGUGGAUUCUGAAAGGGAGUUAAAAUACAGGACUUUUGGGAAAAUUCAGAAUAUUUUUAGGGUUGGAAAAUACCCCAAAGAUCAUCUUUAUCUGUCUCCAGCCUCUCGUCUUGCAGGAACACUCAACUAAGCCAUGAGACAGAGGAUGUUUUGGAUUCCUAUGUUCAUUCCUUAGCAAUGAGAAAGGGAAACAGGUGAAAGGUCAAGGGGGAGUUUUCCCGUGAUUUCAGAUUAGGUCUCAGGACAGAGGGAGUGAAAACUAGAUUAAUUAGACCUUCAGGGAGACUCCGUUAGAAGCAUUGUUGAAGGCUUUCAUGGUCGGAAUCAUUGGGUUGCUGUGAGUUUUUCAGGCUGUAUGGCCAUGUUCCAGAAGCCGGUGAAAGGUCAAUGGGGAGUUUUCCCAUGAUUUCAGAUUAGGUCUCAGGACAGAGGGAGUGAAAACUAGAUUAAUUAGGACUUCGGAGAGACUCCGUGAAAAGUAUUGUUGAAGGCUUUCAUGGCCAGAAUCAUUGGGUUGCUGUGAGUCUUUCUGGCUGUAUGGCCAUGUUCCAGAAGCAUUCUCUCCUGACAUUUCACCCACAUCUAUGGCAGGCAUCCUUAGAGGUUGUGAGGUAUAUGGAGAAUAUCUAUAUAUAUAAAAGGGUAAUGAAAUUUCAGCCUAGGACAAAACAACAAAACUGCACAUCCCAGAAACACUAAACUUGGCAGCACAACCCCUCAUCCA